ensembl:lncRNA
AUGUUGGUCAUGGGCUUGUUAAGGGCAGUUCUUCAAGUACAUGCUGAGAGCCAUGGUCAGCUGACUCUUUCUGACUUUCCAAAUGGGAAACUCCAGAGUAGAUCUUGCAGGUCCAACCCACAGGGACCUUGGCUCAAGGUGCUGUAAUGGGGGCAUCUGAACUUGUGUGAACUUGGAUUUUCUCUUCCGGCCUGUAGGCUGCUGCCCGGCCCUGGAGAGGGUUAGAGGGAGGAGGAGACGCUGGGCCUGUUCACAAAUCAUCACCCCCUCCCGUCGCUGACCUGGAGGUCUCAGGAGGUUCUAGAAGCCAGGGAGGCCAGGGAGGCCAGGGCAUGGGAAUCAGAGAGUUUGGUUCCUCCCAGGUCCUGGGCGCGAAGUGGGGCUGAGAGUGGGGUCACAAUUGGUAAACAAUGGCUCGUGCAUUUAGUAAGCACUCAUUGUAUACAAAAUCCCACAUGGGCAGGUCUGACCUGGCCUUAGAAAGGACCUCUUCCUGCAGCUCAGAAACCUGGGGCUGAGAGAGGGUCCUGUGCUGCCCUGAGUCACGCGGCAGUGCCUGAUGCCUGGGACUAGAGCCUGAGUUCCUUCUUUAGCACCUGCGGCCCACAGAGCUGCCUGAGUACAGGGCACAGCGGCAGGGGAGGGGGCGCCAGCAGAGGGAAAGACAAGAGGUGCCUAGUGUUCUGAAGCACAGCUGCUAGUGGUGGCAGGGGGGACAGGAAAUCCACAGAAGCCCAGACCUGGGAACGCAGAGUUACUGACAGGCACAGGUGUGUGUGUGUGUGUGUGUGUGUGUGUGUGUGUGUGUGUGUGUGCGCGCGCGUGUGUGUGAGAGAGAGAGAGGCCCUGCAGAGUUUGUUCUGUACAGGUUUGUUAAAAUUUUACACCACGUCGACGAGGUGGGUACUCUGUCUCCCAAAGGCUGCCCCACGGCAAAACCAAGAUUUGCUCAACUCGCCGUGUCUCAAUUCCUCUGACCGCAGCCUUCCAGAGAGGGAGCUUUGCCCAGGGAAUUGAGGUGAGUAGGGAGGGGGCAAACAGGAGGGGGCCGUCAAGGUGUGGACCUGGAAGGGAUCUGCAGGAGCACUCAUCUGUUUUGCAGAUGAAGAAACACUCCAGAGAGGGGACGUGCCUCGCCCAGGGUCCUGCAGAGAUCACGUAGACACCUACAGCAGAGGGGACUUGGGCACCACAGGGGACCGUGCAUUGGAUCCUGGCCGAAAGCCAGAAGCCCCUCGAGGACAAGGACCUCCUUGUACCCCACUCCUCCCCGUGGUGCCGACCACAGGGUGCAGCACAUAGUAGGCGCUCAAAAAGUCCUCCACGAUGAGUAAAUCUUUCAUCCUUCAGUAGCUGCAAUCACCUGCCGUUUAUUCAUGUCUUCAUUCAUUUCUCUAGCAACUAGUGAGCACUGACUGUGUGCGUGGCACCCUGCUGGAUGCGGGAACACACAGUUGAAUAAGACACCGUGCCUGCACCCCCUGCACCUGUUGACUUAUCUUCUGGUGGGGGUCUGGGGUUACCCCACAUCAUAACACGUGCCCCCAUAGUUUUCCUCACUCCCAACUCAGGCUUC